UUCGGAAUCGAUAACCGCUGAAAGCAUCUAAGCGGGAAGCGAGCCCUGAGAUGAGUCAUCCCUGACCCCUUGAGGGUCCUAAAGGGCCGUUGGAGACCACAACGUUGAUAGGUGGGGUGUGUAAGCGCGGCGACGUGUUGAGCUAACCCAUACUAAUUACCCGUGAGGCUUAACCAU
rnacentral:rRNA from 1 species